rnacentral:lncRNA from 1 species
CCUGCUUGAAUAUGCAAAGGAUUCCAGUGUUAUCUGGUAUAUCUGAUGCGGCAUUGACCUAUACUCUCAUAUCUUAUCUUCCUACUCAGUAUGCAACCAGAAAAUGCUGGUGCUGCUGUACUACUGAGGGCAGUGCCUCCCUCCAACAACUGCUCCGCAGUGUGAGAUGUGGCCACUCACACAGACUCCUAAUACAGCCCACCGCAUGUAGUCUGGCAAGGUUUUGUUAGCCUCUUCCCCACCAAGGAACACCGAUGUUGACCUGAUUUCUGCUUAAGGAACACCUGACUUUGUUUCCCACUUUCUCCCUUCCCACCUCAGUUCCUGGGGUGACAGGGCCAAGUUCCAGCAACAAUAGCUGAGUUCUGGCAUUUUGACAUCCAAACCAGGCAUGAUGCAAUAGAAGGAACACCAAGCUGAGAUAAAGGUGACAUGGGGAACUGUUGUAGGCAGCUUGAAGGUAUAACUAUAUGCGAAAGCCCCACUGGUUCUGGAGUUGGCCUAUGGAUUCGCAAUGAAUGGAGCAACCAGAAAGGAAUGCAGAUAUAACGGAGAGCCCUCCCUGCCAUCUGCACCCAUGAGCCCACUGCAUCAUAGGAUUUUUGCAGGCCCUGCCAUACAAAAAUAACCAAAACCAAGUGAAAAAGUGUUUAGUCUUACAAAUCUCAAAAUAAAAGGAACCUUGGAUAUGAGUGAUUCUUUCUCAUCUCUAAACAUAUAUGUACUUCCAUAAUGCUGAACUCAAUUCUUCUUUUCUUUAUCUUGCAUUUAAACAAUAGACCAGGUUUUAUGGUUCUAUGCGAAGAACUUGUUACACAAGCUCCAGUGACUCACAAUCUUGUUGAACACUGUAUUCCCAAGUACUAGCCUCUAACACCAGGAAUCCUGGUAAAUGGAAUUAAAUAUUUUGCAAGAAUAUCUUGCUACAGCAUUUAAUACAUCUCUUGCAUAACUGACUCUUUUGGUGGGAUCUUUACUUUGGAAAGUAAAACAGAUAUAUGCAUGUAUUCAGUUGAGAGGUUGUAACAUGUUGAUACUGAUUUACUUGAGAGUUUUGGCCAAAUUUGGUGUGCUUAUGUUGCUGGGAGUAAAAGGGAG